rnacentral:rRNA from 1 species
UGGGGAAUUGUUCACAAUGGGCGAAAGCCUGAUCCAGCCAUGCCGCGUGCGGGAAGAAGGCCUUCGGGUUGUAAACCGCUUUUGUCAGGGAAGAAACGGUCUGCACUAAUACUGCGGAUUAAUGACGGUACCUGAAGAAUAAGCACCGGCUAACUACGUGCCAGCAGCCGCGGUAAUACAGAGGGUGCGAGCGUUAAUCGGAAUUACUGGGCGUAAAGGGUGCGUAGGCGGUUAAAUAAGUUAGAUGUGAAAUCCCCGGGCUUAACCUGGGAAUUGCAUUUAAUACUGUAUGACUAGAGUAGAGUAGAGGGAAGUGGAAUUUCCGGUGUAGCGGUGAAAUGCGUAGAUAUCGGAAAGAACAUCAGUGGCGAAGGCGGCUUCCUGGACUCAUACUGACGCUGAGGCACGAAAGUGUGGGGAUCAAACAGGAUUAGAUACCCAUGUAGUCCCUGAGCGGGCUGGCAAGGCGCAU